rnacentral:rRNA from 1 species
CCUACGGGGGGCUGCAGUGGGGAAUAUUGGACAAUGGGCGAAAGCCUGAUCCAGCCAUGCCGCGUGUGUGAAGAAGGCUCUAGGGUUGUAAAGCACUUUCAGUAGGGAGGAAAAGUUAGUAGUUAAUAGCUGCUAACCCUGACGUUACCUACAGAAGAAGCACCGGCAAACUCCGUGCCAGCAGCCGCGGUAAUACGGAGGGUGCGAGCGUUAAUCGGAAUUACUGGGCGUAAAGCGCGCGUAGGCGGUUUGAUAAGCUGGAUGUGAAAGCCCUGGGCUCAACCUGGGAAUUGCAUCCAGAACUGUCUGACUAGAGUACAGUAGAGGUGAGUGGAAUUUCCUGUGUAGCGGUGAAAUGCGUAGAUAUAGGAAGGAACAUCAGUGGCGAAGGCGACUCACUGGACUGAUACUGACGCUGAGGUGCGAAAGCGUGGGGAGCA